AUGGUUUCUUGAGGCUUAAAUAAGAAAUCUGGCCUGCCCACUGAUAAUUGUUAAAGGGCUGCAGUAUUUUGACUGUACAAAGGUAGCACAAUCAUUAGUCUUUUAAUUAAGGACUAGCAUGAAAGGUUCGACAGAUAAGUAUUAUUUUAUUUAUAGGACUUUGAAUUUUCCUUUUCUGUUAAAAGGCAGAAAUAUAAGUAAUAGACAAGAAGACCCUUUAAAAUUUAAUUUGGUUGAUUUGGGAGCUUUUAUUAUGAAAGUAAAAAGGUUAUAUUAAGUUUUGCUGGGGCGGCAGGAGUAAAUUUACUAUACUAUUAAUAAAUAUAUUGUUUAGCUGUGAUUGUGAUCCUAUAUAAGGAUAAUAAAAUAAAUUACUGAAGGGAUAACAGCGUAAUAUACUUUAAGAGUUCUUAUUGACAAGUAUGUUUGCGA
rnacentral:rRNA from 1 species